GACGAACGCUGGCGGCGUGCCUAAUACAUGCAAGUAGAACGCUGAAGGAGGAGCUUGCUUCUCUGGAUGAGUUGCGAACGGGUGAGUAACGCGUAGGUAACCUGCCUGGUAGCGGGGGAUAACUAUUGGAAACGAUAGCUAAUACCGCAUAAGAGUAGAUGUUGCAUGACAUUUGCUUAAAAGGUGCAAUUGCAUCACUACCAGAUGGACCUGCGUUGUAUUAGCUAGUUGGUGGGGUAACGGCUCACCAAGGCGACGAUACAUAGCCGACCUGAGAGGGUGAUCGGCCACACUGGGACUGAGACACGGCCCAGACUCCUACGGGAGGCAGCAGUAGGGAAUCUUCGGCAAUGGACGGAGUCUGGCCGAGCAACGCCGCGUGAGUGAAGAAGGUUUUCGGAUCGUAAAGCUCUGUUGUAAGAGAAGAACGAGUGUGAGAGUGGAAAGUUCACACUGUGACGGUAUCUUACCAGAAAGGGACGGCUAACUACGUG
rnacentral:rRNA from 1 species